AGAAACUUCUUGAUGACUGCUUUCACUUUCAAAAAUUUCUCUUUUGUGGUUAAUCUAACCGACAGAUUUCGACAAAGUAGUUAAGAACAUCAGAAAUCAAAAAUAUGUCGAGGGAUUACUACCAUGAUAUUUAAACCAUGGCAAGUACAGCUGGGCCAAGCCACUUUUGUCUGACUAAUGAUCAGAAACGAUGGCUUGUGGCAGGAAUUGCACUCAACAAGAUCCUUGUACCACAGAUGCGUUCAUUUGUGGAGCAGGAGGUUGGAAAGGAGUACAACAAAGUUAAGAGCAGUCACACCAUUCAUACCCAGACCAUACCUCAUUAUCUCAAAGCAUGGCCAACUACUUCUAAAGAUUUACUGAAGUAUGAAAACAUCAAUGGCAAUGAUAGCUGUAAGGUGAAGUCGAAAAAAGGGAAAUGUGUGUAUGACUACAACUCCUUCAAAUACCAAGUUACAUCUCAUGUUGACUUUGCAAGGCUGUUUGUGCAAAACUUCAUGGCUAAGUUCACUGCAUUUGAUGACCACUGUGAUGCCUCGGCUGUAUUACAGUUGCUUCUUCGCAUUCCAGCAUUCUCUCCAGCUGUGCAAACUGCAGCAGAUAAAGUCAGAAUGACAAGGAAUGAUUGGGCCCACUGUGGUUUUAGCAAGUGGGAUCAGCCCAAUUUUUCAAGGAGCUUUUCUGACAUGGAACAACUGGUAAAGAGCUUGGCACUAUCAGGUGCUGGGAAAAUACUUGGAGAACUUAAAGACUGGGAAACCAAAGGAACAGCUCUUUGCCAGAAUUCUCCUGUAGAUCCAUUACUGUUACAACUGGUUCAGCAGGAAGUUAACUUUCUUCAAGUUUGUGUGGACAACAUGUGUGUGGAAAAUGAAGAAGACAAGACUAAAGUCACUAAUGAGCUAAGAACUAUUGACGCAAGUCUAGAGGAGAUGAAAAAAAGAGUGGAGAACCUUGAGUGUGACGUUGAAGUUGUUAAGGGCAGAUUGGAUGAUUUCGAAGGACCCAUGCGAAAGAAAAUUAAGAGGCUUGAGAGCAAUCAGCAGAGCACAGAUAGUCGCGUUGAGCUUGUUGAAGAUUGCAUGACUGUUGUUGACGAAAAAGUGAAUGUCGUGGGAGGCAAAGUGAAUGUUGUUGAGGACAAAGUGAAUGUUGUGGAAAACAGUGUGCUUCACCUACAAGAACAAGUACAAGACCUGGCAAAGACCAAGGGCUCAGACGGAGCGAUUACGUGCGCUGAAAGUCCCAAACCAGCUGAUUACCCAGACAACUUUGUACAGCUAAUCAGAAGAGAUUACAAAAACGCCGUACUGUGUCCGUUCCCCUGGUGCGAGGAAGAGUUGGAAAUGGAAUUUUCGAAGAUGUUUACUAAACUGAAGAUAGUUGGUAGGAAAAAAGAAAGAGCGAGGUUAACAAAGGGUAUUGUUGAAAUGAAGGAUGUCUUCAGUCCACACAUACAAUGUGAAAAGCCAAGAGUGGUAUUGAUCGAGGGGCCACCUGGAAUGGGCAAAACCACUUACUCUCAGAAACUUGCGUAUGAUUGGUCAGUGAAGGACAUUUCACUUGAACCUUCUUUUCCUAAAGUGGACAUGCUUCUCCGACUGAAUUGUCGUGACAUGAAAACUACUAACAUCGAGGAUGCUAUUGAUGAUCAGUUACUACCUCGUGAUGCAAACGAGAAGGAGAAAGAGGACGUCUUUCAUUUCAUUCGCCGCAAUCAAUCCAGAAUCUUGCUAGUUCUUGACGGACUGGAUGAACUAUCUCAAGAUCUUUUUGAAGGAUUGUUGCCCUUGAUUAAAGGAAGAGUCUUUGCUAAUACUUACCUCCUGUUAACAGCCAGACACGAAGCUGGAAUGAAAGUACGGAAGUACUGUGACACACUCCUUGAGAUUGUUGGUUACACCAGCGCGGAUGCCGAGAGUUACAUCAAGAAGUAUUUUAGCAAUCACGACGAUCCAAGCCUUGCUAAGAAACUGAUUAGCAGUCUAGACAGAAACCCAAAGCUGAGCGAAUUAUCUGUCAAUCCUCUUAAUACAGCGCUGUUGUGUCUCGUUUGUGAAGAUUCGCAAGGAAAAUUCCCUCAUAACAGAACCCUGCUGUAUCGUGAACUUGUCUCGUGUGUUCUUAGGAGGUAUUUUUCAAGUAAGAAAAUCGUUUUGGGCAACAAAUGUCCAAUCGAACAUUGUUCAGAUCAGCUGAAUCAGUUGGGCAGGUUCGCUCUUGAUGCUUUGCUAAAAGAUCAGUUAGCCUUCUCUCCAUGGGAGUUGAAAAGUCAGUCAACAGAAUUCCUUGGAUUCGGUUUUCUUUCUCGUGAAGCCAGUGCAAGUAAAUUGAAACCCAAGGCAACAUACGCGUUUACCCACAAGACCUUUCAGGAAUAUUUUGCUGCAUUCCACCUGGCUCAUGAUCUGGCGACUGGUGAAAGUGACAAGGUCGCGCUGCUUGCUCAACUCAAUCCUAUUGAUAACUACUGGCAGGUGUGGGAGUUUCUCAUCUCAAUGGCUGCAACUGAAAGUUAUGACGUUAGUGUUUUGGUAGUGUCGAGUCUCUGUGCUUGCUAUCAGCAAAAAAAACCCGAGAGUCUGUACCUCGAUAUGUAUGUGUCGCAGGACGAAUAUAGCGAUGACAAUCCCUGGGACAGCGAUGAAGAGGACUAUUUCGGAAUGGGAACCAUCUAUGCGUGGAACGACCGUGAAGAAGACUACAGCUCCGAAAGUCAGCAAGAUGACGACGAAUUGGAUAGCGACAAUGCUGAUAGCGGUGAUGUUGAUAGAAAUGAUGGAAGCGAUCACCGUUUUGACAAUGUUAUUGUAGACGUUUGCAGAGAUGCUUCACAUGAUUGGGUUGAAGGUAUACAAGCAAGAUGGCUGUUCAGAAAUAAAUCUGAGGUACGGUUUUGUGAAGCUAUAAUUCAUACCAUUGCACAGUGUGAAAAGUCUGAAAGUCAAUUGAGUCGUAACCAGAUUAAAAUGGCAGAUACGCUAGCACGCUGCUUUCCUUUGGAGAAAAUGAUCGUUGACACUGAAUGUUCGUUCACGCUCACCCCACAAUAUAUUCUCAUUUUGUUUGAAUAUCUGAAAUGCAACAGCCAGCUGAAAGACCUCUCUUGGUGCGUCGGAUCUUGGGACGAGUUAAGUUCGGCAGCAAUUGGAUGUGUGCUCCAAUCAUGUCAUGAGCUCAAGCGCUUGUAUUUAAUCAACGAUUUAAGUAACCCUUUUCUUACAUCUGCUCUUCAGACAAAUCGCACAGUGACUCAUCUAAAGCUGAGCAGUUCUGGAACCUUCCUAACAGGUGCCAAAGCACUUGGUGGUCUUCUUCAAUCAAAUCACACUUUGACCCAUUUGUGUUUGGCUGGCAAUCAUCUAACACAUAUUGAAGCAGAGGCGUUAGCACAAGGUCUCCUAUCCAACAGUGUGCUAGUGUAUUUAGACUUAAGCGUAAACUGUAUUGGUGAUCAAGGAACCGUUGCACUUUCUAAAGCAUUGGAGUCAAAUCGAAUGCUAAAGUACCUUGACGUAAGUUUUCAAAAUCAAGGUUUAUCAAGGUCUAAUCACAUGGAAUCGGAUUUUCUAGGUGAUGAAGGUACAAAGGCUUUGGCGCACGCUCUUCGAUCUAACAACUCGUUGACUUACUUAGAUCUUCAAGCGAAUCUGUUUACCGACUCAGCAGCGGCAGAACUGGGAGAAUCUCUUCAGUUUAACUCCUCUCUGACACAUUUGUACCUAAGGAAUAACUGUAUCCCGAGCGAAGUUCUGUUCGGCAAUGCAGCAGCAACAGCUUUCUCAAAGGCCCUUCAGUCUCCUCUCACACAGUUGACUCGUUUAGAUUUACAUAGUACCUCUAUCAGUUCAUCGUGUGCAGUCACCCUGGCAGAGGCUCUCCAAAAUAAUCGCACUCUUGAGCGUUUGGAUUUGAGUGACAACAAGAUUGAAUGUUCUGGUGCUAUAGCCUUAGCACAGACAUUGAAGUCGCAUCAAGCUUUGCAAUAUCUACAGUUGAGAAACAACAAAGUUGGUGAUUCAGGGGCAAAAGAGUUUGUUGAGGCCCUACAGUACAACGAGACUUUGCUCCUGUUAGACUUGAUCGGAAAUCCGAUAACUAAGUCAGGAGCAGAAUUCAUCCUUGGAGCGCCUCAGGGGGCGAGUUGUUGUUUAAUGAGAUGGUGACAAAAACAGAUUAAGGCGUUGGCAUGGAUAGGAAAACAAAAUACUCCCGGGAUAGUAUUCAAUUAAUAAUCGGUUCCGAUCCGGCAGGAAGGGCAGACUUUUCUAAUCCCGUUUGAAUUCUGAGGUUUCACCUCAUCCCAUAAAUUUCCAAUAGAUACCAGGCAGACGAGAAGAAGCACCACCAAAAUCUUCGACGUCUCUCCUGUGUGGAAGGUAAAAUCAGAAUGAGUGAAGUGGGAUAAUCCACAUCAAUUACCAUAAAGCCUCGACGAGAAAUCCGGUCAUCAAAUAGACUGUAAAGUGUUAUUUUAUAACUCUAUGCUAAAUUUUAGGAAGUCAUUAACAGAACUGCUUGGUCGCGAGACAAUCUUCAUGUUGAUCAACAAGAACACUGUAUCACUGAAGAGUAGGAAGGAAAAUUCUCAAAAAUCACUUUUUACCUGCUUAAACAACGUAUAAAAUGGCUCUGGGUUGUUGCAUGUAAUAAACCAAGCGUAGGCGUAAUUCCAACUCGUUUAUUGUGUGUCUAAUGUGUAGUCGCUUCUUUAUAUAUAGGUAAUAUGAGAAUCACUAAUUUAAUCAAU